rnacentral:rRNA from 1 species
CAGCAGCCACGGUAAUACAGAGGGUGCGAGCGUUAAUCGGAUUUACUGGGCAUAAAGCGUGCGUAGGCGGCUAAUUGAGUCGGAUGUGAAAUCCCCGAGCUUAACUUGGGAAUUGCAUUCGAUACUGGUUAGCUAGAGUGUGGGAGAGGAUGGUAGAAUUCCAGGUGUAGCGGUGAAAUGCGUAGAGAUCUGGAGGAAUACCGAUGGCGAAGGCAGCCAUCUGGCCUAACACUGACGCUGAGGUACGAAAGCAUGGGGAGCAAACAGGAUUAGAUACCCCUGUAGUCCCUGUCUCUUAUAC